AGGUUAUGCUCACGAUUCAAGAACGUACAAUGCAAUGAUGGCAAUACUUGGAAAGACGAGGCAGUUUGAGACCAUGGUCUCGGUUCUUGAAGAAAUGGGGGAGAAAGGUUUGCUUACAAUGGAGACCUUUUUGAUAUCCAUGAAAGCAUUUGCUGCAGCAAAAGAGCGGAAGAAAGCUAUUGGGAUUUUUGAGUUGAUGAAGAAGUACAAGUAUAAAGUUGGGGAUGGAUACAUUUUUGAUCUCCAUGAAAGCAUUUGCUGCGGCAAAAGAGCGGAAGAAAGCUAUUGGGAGUUUUGAGUUGAUGAAGAAAUACAAGUUUAAAGUUGGGGUGGAAACUAUCAAUUGUUUACUUGAUGCCCUGGGAAGGGCA
rnacentral:lncRNA from 1 species